AGAGAGAGACAUGCGCGCAUAUCAAUAAGCGGAGGAAAAGAAACUAACAAGGAUUCCCUUAGUAACGGCGAGUGAAGCGGGAAGAGCUCAAAUUUGAAAUCUUCAAGGUUUUACCUUGACGAAUUGUAGUUUAAAGAAGUGUUUUCUGCUGAAGUUUUGGUAAAAGUUCUUUGGAAUAGGACAUCAUAGAGGGUGAGAAUCCCGUAUUUGACCAUUAUUUUCAGCUUUGUGAUACACUUUCAGAGAGUCGGAUUGUUUGGGAAUGCAGUCCAAAAUGGGUGGUAAAUUUCAUCUAAAGCUAAAUAUUGGCGAGAGACCGAUAGCGAACAAGUACCGUGAGGGAAAGAUGAAAAGAACUUUGAAAAGAGAGUUAAACAGUACGUGAAAUUGUCAAAAGGGAAGCGUUUGACACCAGUGUUGUUUUCCUCGAAAAUCAAUUAAAAAUGGCUCGAUUUUGUAUUGCUUGAGACCUUAAAAGCUCACUGUACAUUUUUCGUGUCUUUUUUAAUGCACUUUUCGUUUAACAAGUCAACAUCAGUUUCUUUUGUUGUAAAAGGGUCAUUGGAAGGUGGCUUUCUUUUCGGAGAAAGUGUUUAUAGCCUUUGGCCUCUGCAAUCGGAAGAGACUGAGGUCUGCAGCGUAGACUCUUCGGGGUUAGAUACAUUUGUGCUAAGUUAUAGCUUUUUAUAGACAGCUUGUUGACUAUGAUUAGUCUUGUAGCUUACUCGCUUAUGCUAUUUUACCUACGCUUAGGAUGUUGAAGAUGUAGCACAUCAU
rnacentral:rRNA from 1 species